UGGGGAAUUUUGGACAAUGGGGGAAACCCUGAUCCAGCCAUCCCGCGUGUGCGAUGAAGGCCUUCGGGUUGUAAAGCACUUUUGGCAGGAAAGAAACGUCAUGGGUUAAUACCCCGUGAAACUGACGGUACCUGCAGAAUAAGCACCGGCUAACUACGUGCCAGCAGCCGCGGUAAUACGUAGGGUGCAAGCGUUAAUCGGAAUUACUGGGCGUAAAGCGUGCGCAGGCGGUUCGGAAAGAAAGAUGUGAAAUCCCAGAGCUCAACUUUGGAACUGCAUUUUUAACUACCGGGCUAGAGUGUGUCAGAGGGAGGUGGAAUUCCGCGUGUUGCAGUGAAAUGCGUAGAUAUGCGGAGGAACACCGAUGGCGAAGGCAGCCUCCUGGGAUAACACUGACGCUCAUGCACGAAAGCGUGGGGAGCAAACAGG
rnacentral:rRNA from 1 species